UGAUACCCAACAAAUGUAUAGAGUGUGUAUUCUUUUCAAGCGCACUGAGAAUAUUCUCCAAGAUAAAUAAUAUCAACAAAAUCCUAACCAAAAUGCCUGCAGGUUCUUUGUAAAUACUAACAGGUUAAUUCUAAACUUAUAUGGAAAUGCAAAGAACUUAGAAUAGUCAAGCAAUUUUGAAAAAGAAAGUGGGAAAACUCAUACUACCUAAAUUUAAGACUUACUAUAAACUACAGUGUGGUACUGGCAUGAGGAUGAACAAAUAGCGUCCAGAAAUAGACCAACACUUUUGUGGUCAAUUGAUUUUUGGCAAAGGUGCCAAAGCAGUUCAGUAGGGAAAGGGAACGCUUAUCAACAGCUGGUGCAGAAAAACUGGAUUAUCGAUAUAGAAAAAAAAUUUAAUUUUGAUUCCUACUUAUACCAUAUGCAAAAAUUAAUCCAAUGUGAAUCAAAGACCUAAAAUGGUUAAACUAUAAAAUAUCAGGGAAUAUCUUUACCACUAAUGGGAGGUAAAGAUUUUUGUAGACAGGACACAAAAGUAAUAACCAUAAAAAUCCCUAAAUUUAUAAAUUAAACUUCAAAAUUAAAAAUUUCUGCUCUUUCCCAUCUUGCAAGAUGGUGGGUGAAAAAGUUGAGAAGCCAGAUACUAAAGAGAAGAAACCUGAAGCCGAGAAGGCUGAUGCCAGUGGCAAAGUGAAAAAGGCUAACCUAAAGGCUAAAAAGGUUAAGAAGGGGAAGCCGCACUGCAGCCAAAAUCCUGUUCUCAUCAGAGGAAAAGGCAGAUAUUCCCGAUCUGCCAUGUACUCUCGGAAGGCCAUGCACAAGAGGAGAUACUCAGUGGCUAAAUCCAAGGUUGAAAAGAAAGAGGAGAAGGUCCUCGCUACUGUUACAAAACCAGCUGGCGGUGACAAGAAUGGUGGCACUCGGGUGGUUAAACUUCCCAAAAUGCCUAGGUACUAUCCAACCAAAGAUGUGCCUCAAAAGCUGUUGAGCCACGGCAAAAAACCGUUUGGCCAACACGUGAGAAGACUGUGAGCGAGCACCACUCCCGGGACCAUCCUCAUCAUCCUCACCAGACGCCACAGAGGCAAGAGGGUGCUUUUCCUGAAGCAACUGGGCAGUGGCUUGUUACUUGUGACUGGACCUCUGUCCCUUAAUCGAGUUCCUCUGUAAAGGACACACCAGAAAUUUGUCAUCGCCACGAAUAUUGCAUCAGCAAUGUGAAAAUCCCUAAGCACCUCACUGAUGCUCGCUUCAAGAAGCAGCAGCUGCGGAAGCCCAGACACCAGGAGGAUGAGAUCUUCGACCCAGAAAAGGGAAAAUAUGAGAUUACAGAACGGUGGUGCAAAGUGGAUCAGAAAGCCGUGGACUCCCAAAGUUUACCAAAAAUCAAGGCAAUUCCUCAGCUCCAGGGCUAUCUGCCAUCUCUGUAUGCCCUGACAAAUGGAUUUUAUCCUCACAGAUUGGUGUUCUAAAUUUUUACAAAGAACCUAAUUAAAUAACUGAAAGAUAAAAAAAUAAAAUAAAAAUAAAAAUUUC